AACGAACGCUGGCGGCAUGCCUAACACAUGCAAGUCGAACGAGACCUUCGGGUCUAGUGGCGCACGGGUGCGUAACGCGUGGGAACCUGCCCUUAGGUUCGGAAUAACUCCCCGAAAGGGGUGCUAAUACCGGAUAAUGUCUUCGGACCAAAGAUUUAUCGCCUUUGGAUGGGCCCGCGUUGGAUUAGCUAGUUGGUAGGGUAAAAGCCUACCAAGGCGACGAUCCAUAGCUGGUCUGAGAGGAUGAUCAGCCACACUGGGACUGAGACACGGCCCAGACCCCCUCGGGAGGGAGGAGGGGGGAAUAAUGGAACAUGGGGGAAAGCCUGAACCAGGAAAGGCGCGUGAGGGAAGAAGGGCUUUGGGUUUGAAAGGCUCUUUACCCGGGAAGAAAAAUAAAGUAACGGGAGAAAAAAGCCCCGCCAAACCCGUG
rnacentral:rRNA from 1 species